rnacentral:misc_RNA from 1 species
UUUAUCGUUUUCGUAUGCUCUUCAUUCAUGAGACGAAAAAAUAAAUAUCAGAAUUUGUUAGUUUCGUUAGAACUGUAACUUUUUCACUGACGUAAACAAUAAACAGAAACCACAUUGUGUGUGUUUCUGCUAUUUAAAAUUGCUAAAUCCUUUUUAAACAAAUGACUUAUAAGCCUAUAUUGAGCGCACAAGUCAGCAAAUGUAUGUAACUUCAAUAAAACCAACUUUUUAAACCUUAUCUAUAUAAUUUAUUGUUUUUGUAUGAUUUAAUUAUCUGUCAUGAAUUCGUCCAAAAUUUCAAUCUUGUUUGGUACUCAGACUGGUAAUUCUGAAGAUGUAGCUGAACGACUUGGGAGAUUACUUACUAGGAUGAGACUAAAACCUUUUGUACGUGAUAUUCAAAAUUAUCGAAUUUCUCGUCUGCUGGAGGAAAAAAUGGUUAUAUUCAUAUGCUCCACCACAGGUAAUGGGGAGUUUCCAGAUAAUAUGAAAGCUUUUUGGAAAUUCCUUUUGCGCAAAAAUCAUCCUACUAGUUCUCUGUGCCAUCUGAAAUUCUGUGUGUUUGGAUUAGGAGAUUCUUCAUAUGAAAAAUUUAAUGUCGUAGCAAAAAAGCUAAACAAGCGAUUACUUCAACUUGGUGCUACAGAAGUACUACCCAUUGCUCUGGGUGAUGAUCAACAUGAAUUAGGAUAUGAUGCUGCUCUCGAUCCUUGGUUAAAAAAAUUGAAAGAUAUAUUUUCAUCCUAUUAUGACAUUAAUGCAUCGUAUAUACCUGAUGAUACACCUUUACCUCCUAAGUUCAAAGUCAAAUUCUUAGAAAAGAAUGGUAACAUUCAUUUUAAUAAUGAUUGUAUGAUGCAAAAUUAUCAACAAGCUACUCUUAAAUCCAUAAAAAAGGAGACUUCGGAUGACCAUUUCCAAACAGUAAAUCUUGUAAGCUUUAUGAUUUCUCCUGAAGUAGUUUAUGAACCUGGUGAUGUUGCUGUUGUAUGGCCUGAGAACCCACCUCAUGAAGUCAAUGAAUUCCUCUCACUUUUAAAGGUUCCCUUCGAUGACCCGUUUAUUAUUGUCCCGGCUGAUCAAGAUACACCGCCUCCUCCACUUACCCCAUAUCCAUGUACUGUUAGGGAAUGUGUUAAAAAAUAUUUUGAUGUAUUAAGUAUACCACGACGGUCAUUCUUUGAGUUUUUUUACCAUUUCAGUCAAGAUGAAACUGAGAAGGAAAAAUUACUCGAAUUUACUACUGCUGAAGGUCAAGAAGAACUUUAUGAGUAUUGCAACAGACCGAGGCGUAAUAUUCUGGAAGUAUUGCUCGAUUUCCCUCACACUACUCCGCAUGUUCCUUUUGAAUAUUUUUUUGAUAUGAUACCUGCUAUUCGUCCAAGAUCUUAUUCGAUAGCCUCUGCCCUAUCAGUUCAUAGUUGUGAAUUUCAGCUCUUAGUCGCUGUCGUAAAUUAUAAAACUCGCUUACAAAAAACGAGAAAAGGACUUUGCUCGAAUUGGUUAUCAAAUCUUCCUGAAGGCUCAAAAAUUCCUUUUUAUACUAAAAAAGGUUCAAUAGCAUUACCAGGAUCAAUGGAUCCAAUAGUAAUGAUUGGCCCUGGUACCGGUUGUGCUCCAUUUAAAGCGUUUGUCGAGCAUCGAGCUCAUAAAAAGAUUGGUGACAACCAUUUAUUUUUUGGGUGUAGGUACAAAGAGAAAGAUUUUUUGUGUUCUGAAAGUUGGAAAGAGCUUGAAGAGAAAGAUAUGCUGACACUAUUCACUGCUUUUUCUCGCGACCAAGAAGACAAAGUAUAUGUUCAGCACAAAAUUGUUGAGAAUAGUACUUUAUUGUGGGAACUUAUUAAUCACAAACUAGCCUAUGUUUAUAUUGCAGGAAAUGCUAAACAAAUGCCAGAAGGCGUUAAAGAUGCAUUCCUUAAAGUUUUUGAAAAAGAAGGAUAUCUUAGCAAUAAUGAAUGCAUAAAAUAUUUGAAAACUAUGGAACUUCAUAAAAGAUAUCAAGUGGAAACAUGGUGUUAAAUAUAAGAUAAUUAAUGUAUUCUAUUAGAUUUUAAUUUGUCAUUACUUCAUACAUCUUUUAUGUAUCGCAGUUUAAAAAUUAAUAUUUUUUAUUAUUAUUUUGAUUAUUAUUUCAAUAAAUUCUAUGAAAGAGUUUUCAAAUAUUUAUUUCAAUGUCAAGUAUAAAAAUCAAUAUUUGAAACAUAAUAAAAUUAAUUUUAUUUUACUUUUUGUUUGCAAUUAAAUAUAUUUAUCAUGUGAGAUUUAAAAAAAAAAAAAUUUCUUAAUAUUAAUUGGACUUUAACUGUUUAGACAGAUAAUAUUAAAUCAAAAAAAAACUAUUUUAUAUAUUAGAAUUUGUUUGUAAUUACUAUUUUAAAAAAUACUGUAAAAGAUUUAACAGAAUAGAUUAAUGUUCAAAACUAUUAUUGUUUUUAAACCUGGGAGAUUGAUAAUUUUCAAAAUGUUAUUUAACAUGUUUUUUCUAUUAAGAAAGAGUCCAAUUAGCUUUAAUACCAAAAACAUUUGGCCCUUCAGCAUUCAUUGUUGCAUUUUAUAAAAUUUAUUUAUUGUUUUUAUAUUUAUCAUACAUCAUUUAAUAAUGAAUAUGAUAAAGUCAUGUACUUGUCAAUAUAGUUUACUAUUAUAAAACUUUACUAUAGAAAAAAAUUUCAGCAUUUUGAAUAAUUAAAUGUUGAUCCUUUGAUAUAAAAUGUCAUAAAAAUGCAAUUGUAUUAUUAUUUUAUGAGAUCAAUAAUUUGUAUUUCGAAACAACUGCCAGACUUCUAAGAUAAAAACCUAAUUAAGUUCCAGAACUUUUUGAAGGACUUAAUAGUCUUGCUUUUAAAAUAAUUCUGAAUCAUCGACACUUAUUAUAUAUAAUGUUCUAUUUGGUAUAAUGCUGGUUAUCAAGAACUUUUAAGUUUUCACUUGAGGAAGUUAAGCAACUGCUUCGUUUUUUUAAUGACUUGUGUUUAUUUCAAGCAACAAAUUAUGAUUCAUAAAUUUUAAGAGCAUAGACGAUAUUAAUGCGACUGAAAAAAAUUUAAUUAGAUUAACUUUCGAAAGCCCAUAAAACACUAUACAGUUCUUGACACUGAAAAAAUUGCAGAUUUAUAAAAUCGACAGCUUUUUAAAAUUAACCAUUACAAUAUCAACAUGCUUAAAUCAUGUUUUAAAGAAAUCAUUAUUGCCAUUUCGUUUCACGCAAACAAAUCUUUUUGGAAACAUAUGUUUUAAAAAUUAAAAACAACAUGGUUAUCCUUAUUUCUUAUUUAUAAUUAUUUUUUCAAGUUUUGAAAGAUGCGUAGUUUAUAGAUAACAAAUUGCAGCUUGCAACCCAACAAAAAGAAGUCUACAAUAGUAGAUUAAUUAUUUUGGUGAAAUUGUAGGAUCAGUGUAAAAAUAGAAUGAAAUAGGAGGAAAUGCAAAAGAGUCUCCGAAAGAACCUAGCUGCCACAGCUUGGUAGAUGAAGAAUUCAAACGUAAAUAAAAUAAAUACAUUAAAUGCCUUGAAAGUGAGUGCGAUAAAACAUUUCUUUUCUCAGAAUUAUUUUAUAAACAAAAAGAGUCAAGAUUUAUGAACAAUUUUAAACUACUCCCUGUUCAUAUUAUAUUAUGUUUCAACUAUGAAUAAAGACUGGGAUUACA